AGAUAGAGUAAGCAGGGAUUUACAUACAGCGCUGAGCGGAUAUAGAGGAAGCAGAGGUUUACAUACAGCACUGAGCAGAGUUAGAGGAAGCAGAGAUUUAUAUACAGCGCUGAGCGGAGUUAGAGGAAGCAGAGGUUUACAUACAGCACUGAGCGGAGAUAGAGUAAGCAGGGAUUUACAUACAGCACUGAGCGGAUAUAG